rnacentral:rRNA from 1 species
UACGUAGGGGCCUAGCGUUGUCCGGAUUUAUUGGGCGUAAAGAGCUCGUAGGCGGUUCGGCAAGUCAUGUGUGAAAUCUCCACGCUCAACGUGGAGGGGCCGUUCGAUACUGUCGUGACUCGAGUCCGGUAGGGGAGUGUGGAAUUCCCGGUGUAGCGGUGAAAUGCGCAGAGAUCGGGAGGAACACCCGUAGCGAAGGCGGCACUCUGGGCCGGUACUGACGCUGAGGAGCGAAAGCGUGGGGAGCAAACAGG